UGGGGAAUUUUGGACAAUGGGCGAAAGCCUGAUCCAGCAAUGCCGCGUGUGUGAAGAAGGCCUUCGGGUUGUAAAGCACUUUUGUCCGGAAAGAAAUCCUUGGCUCUAAUACAGUCGGGGGAUGACGGUACCGGAAGAAUAAGCACCGGCUAACUACGUGCCAGCAGCCGCGGUAAUACGUAGGGUGCAAGCGUUAAUCGGAAUUACUGGGCGUAAAGCGUGCGCAGGCGGUUUGCUAAGACCGAUGUGAAAUCCCCGGGCUCAACCUGGGAACUGCAUUGGUGACUGGCAGGCUAGAGUAUGGCAGAGGGGGGUUAGAAUUCCACGUGUAGCAGUGAAAUGCGUAGAGAUGUGGAGGAAUACCGAUGGCGAAGGCAGCCCCCUGGGCCAAUACUGACGCUCAUGCACGAAAGCGUGGGGAGCAAACAGGAUUAGAUACCCUGGUAGUCCACGCCCUAAACGAUGUCAACUAGUUGUUGGGGAUUCAUUUCCUUAGUAACGUAGCUAACGCGUGAAGUUGACCGCCUGGGGAGUACGGUCGCAAGAUUAAAACUCAAAGGAAUUGACGGGGUCAUAGCUGUUU
rnacentral:rRNA from 1 species